rnacentral:misc_RNA from 1 species
UUUAUUUUGAUUACCAAUAAUUUCAUUUUCUCAAUGAAUAAAAUUAAUAUGAAUUUUAACUGUUCAUCAAUUAUUGUUAAUGAUGAGACUCAACUUGGUUAAGGGGGACCACCCAUUGGUUAAUUAGGCUCUCCAAGCAAUAAUUUAUGGUCUAUCCCAAAUUUGUCCGCUAACUUGGGAUAGAUUAAAUUAAAAUUCAUAUUAAUACAAUUUACAAAUAAAAAUCAUAGACUUAAUAAUUACUUAUGUGAUGCUACAUGUUGAUUGAUUUUUUUUUUCAAUUGAAAUGAUCUACCCAUAAAACUAUAAGGUAACUUGUGCUCCCUUUUCUAUUAAAUUACCUCGAGUUAAAACCUAAGAUCAACUUAGUAGAACCUGAAUUGGAUGUUUCAAUUGAUAUUUAAUGUGAAAUAUUUGUAUAGGCUAGGACUGCAGUUCUAUACAGGUUAUGUUUUGAUUGAAUUUGGAAAACAUUCAAUUUACAAGGGAUACUUUGUCAAAUUUUCUGCUAAUAAAAACAUAUAUAUUUUUUUUAAAUUAUUGGUCAUAAUUUUAAAAAUUUGAAUUAUUAUGAAUUUAAGAUCAUUGGUUUUACCCAUGAUGAGACUUUAAGGGGGCCACCAAUUAACAUGUUAAACUCUUUAAGUAUUAAUUGAAACAUUCUUCUGAAUUAGGCCACUAAUCGGGAAGGAUGUCCUAAUUCAGAAGGAUGUAACCCUAAAUUCAUAAUAAUUCAUUUUAAAAGUGUUCCUAAAUUGAUGCAUUUUACCCUUUUUUUUCUGAACAAACACAAGGAAUUAACAUCAUAAUUUAAACUCCAUUUAAGAUUAUUGAUAUUAAUUUAUUUUGAGCACACUAUUAAAUCCACUUACUCUUUUAGGGAUGAUAUAGGGUGCCUAACACCUUGCUCACACGUACAAGGAUGCCGAAUCUGAAUCUCUAGAUUAGAAGUGGUAAAUAAUUUUUUCUAAAAUUCUUCAAAGUAAAUAGGUUUUCUUUAAUUUUAUUCAAAAUUAAAAUGGUGACUUUUCAUUUUCUACUUUGGUGAGAAUUGCUUGACGAGUACAAAACUUUUGCAAUAACUUGGUGACUCCAUUGGGGAUUAGAAACCAAGACUUCUGAUCCAGAGGUCUAAGGGUGAAUUUAAUCUUGUGUCCCUAUAAAAUAAUGCCAAUAAUUGUGGACUUUAACUUAUAAAAUAUGACUGUUUCUUGUGUUUGAUCAAAUUUACUAAAUUGUGCUUAGUUUUCAAAAUAAAUUGCAUAAAUUUUUGCUAUGAUUUUCUUUGUUUUAUGUUACCUUUCUUUGUUUUAUGUUACCUUUCUUUAUUAGCAAUUAUUUUGUUGUAUGAUUGUUGUUUGGAUGCUUGCUUUUGGGUUGUGAUUGGUUGUGUAUAGUUAUGGUUCCCCCUGAAAGGGAAGUGGUUGGUAUGUCCCUUCAUAUGCCUAUCACUUGGUUUGUCCUUCACACACCUAUCACUUAUAUAAUGUCCUUACACACUUGAGCUCUAUACUCGGGCUAUUUCCUUUACCCUUUAGGAAGUAGGAGGAAGUCGUGUGAAUUUCCCCAUCAAUAUUCGCGAGGACUUUUACUCAGGUUGUAACUUGUUUCAUAUACUGUGAUACCCUUAGGUCUCCCUGUCAGUAUUAUGGUGUACUGACAAUAAUCAAAAGCCCCAAAGCCAAAAUCCUACACAAUAAUCAAAAGUUUUUUUUAUCCACUUUCAAGGAUAAAACAAUCCCAUUAGAUAGCAUGUCAUUAAAAUUAGACAGGUCUUCCUAUUAUGAAAAAAGGGACAUACUUUUUUCUCCCUUAUUUUUAUUUGUCAUCACUUCAAUCAUGGAUAGAGGUGUGACACCUCCUAACUUGUAGUCCGAGCAACGAAUACUAAGGCACUCUCACAUAAUUUUUUUUAAGUGGUUUUGAGCUCUACUAUCUAAAGUGGUCUAAACAUCUUCCUACUUUGAUAGAUGUCUAAAUAGUCUUCAAACUUGAUAGUAUGGCUCAAAGUUACUCGAGUUAAAUAAUGAUGGUAGUACAUGCAUUGACAUUAACUCUUGUGAGAAUAGAUUUUCACGAAGUCUCAAUAACAAGACAACUUUAUAUACU